UGGGGAAUCUUCCGCAAUGGACGAAAGUCUGACGGAGCAACGCCGCGUGAGUGAUGACGGCCUUCGGGUUGUAAAGCUCUGUUAAUCGGGACGAAAGGCCUUCUUGCGAAUAGUUAGAAGGAUUGACGGUACCGGAAUAGAAAGCCACGGCUAACUACGUGCCAGCAGCCGCGGUAAUACGUAGGUGGCAAGCGUUGUCCGGAAUUAUUGGGCGUAAAGCGCGCGCAGGCGGAUUGGUCAGUCUGUCUUAAAAGUUCGGGGCUUAACCCCGUGAUGGGAUGGAAACUGCCAAUCUAGAGUAUCGGAGAGGAAAGUGGAAUUCCUAGUGUAGCGGUGAAAUGCGUAGAUAUUAGGAAGAACACCAGUGGCGAAGGCGACUUUCUGGACGAAAACUGACGCUGAGGCGCGAAAGCCAGGGGGGCGAACGGGAUUAGAUACCCCGGUAGUCCUGGCCGUAAACGAUGGGUACUAGGUGUAGGAGGUAUCGACCCCUUCUGUGCCGGAGUUAACGCAAUAAGUACCCCGCCUGGGGAGUACGACCGCAAGGUUG
rnacentral:rRNA from 1 species